ACCUGGGUGGCUCAGUCGGUUAAGUGUCUGACUUUGGCUCAGGUCAUGAUCUCGCAGUUCGUGGGUUCGAGCCCCGCUUCAGGCU
rnacentral:tRNA from 1 species